AAAGGGAGACCUAAUUCGGGUAGGAGACGAAAAAAAAGUAGUCCCAACCAAGAAUCAAUCCCAAAAGGUCGGAGCGAGGCGAAAUUGGCUUUCAAACUAGGUUCUGGGUUCACAGAAGACCUGAAUCAGGAACAAGGGCUAUUAGCUCAGGUGGUUAGAGCGCACCCCUGAUAAGGGUGAGGUCCCUGGUUCGAGUCCAGGAUGGCCCACCUGCACAGGUGGUAAAAACAAGAGAAGCGAGGAAUCAGCACCUUAUCUUACUUACAUAGUAAGAGAGAAUGCUGGCUCUGAGUAAAGAGUCCAGAGGAACCUUGAAAACUGCAUAGAGCUAGGUGAAAAAGCCAAAAAAGAAGACCGCAAG
rnacentral:tRNA from 1 species